rnacentral:lncRNA from 1 species
CCCAUACCUGAAUUUAAAAUUUAGUGUUCUUUGGUCAAUGAUUGAUAGUCCACUUCUAUUAUACAUUAUGUUUCCUAAUAACAAUCUGAUAAAAACAAUGUUACUAUCUUGUGCAAGUUUAAAUCAAUUAUGAACACUAAUAACCAACAUCUCUUAAAAAUUAUUAUAAUCAAUUACUUCGUAAAAUCCAUUGGCAUAUAUGUGACUUCAAAAUACAUUAGCCAUUGGAUGACAUCAGACUCGAUCGGAUAGUUCAAAUGUUUUUUUUUUAAUAAUACAAACAAAAAGUAAAUGCUAACAAGUGCGCCAAUACAAAGUUUCAACGUUAAAAUAUGAAUUGUCCAAUCUUGAUCAAAGAUCGGACGGCCACGAUGUUGUUGACUGUGUACAGUUACUGACUUAUGACUGCACUCAAACCUGAUCCACACUAUAGUGCAAAGACCAAUGAAAAUAGCAACCAUGUUUCAGUGCUUGAAGUGGUUCCAUAUUAUAGUGUCAAAGUCACAAAAGUUCGACCAAUUCUACUGUGAUUCUUUCUGCAAAUUCAACAGCAAGAUGAACAUAUAAUGUAAUCUGCAACUUCAUUUUUACUACACAGUGUUUUGCUUCAAUUUUUGUCGUAGCUCUGAUCUUGGUUUGGCAACUUCCACAAAUAUGACCCUACCAUCCAGGAACUGCAAAAGUGUUUCCAAUCUUGUCAUACAUAGCUUAAAACUUAGUUAUCAAAUUGAGAUUCAAAUCAUGAAUAAGAA